AGCGAACGCUGGCGGCAGGCUUAACACAUGCAAGUCGAGCGGGCAUCCUUGUGGUGUCAGCGGCAGACGGGUGAGUAACGCGUGGGAACGUGCCCUUCGGUUCGGAAUAACUCAGGGAAACUUGAGCUAAUACCGGAUACGUGCGAGAGCAGAAAGGUUUAUCUGCCGAAGGAUCGGCCCGCGUCUGAUUAGCUAGUUGGUGAGGUUACGGCUCACCAAGGCGACGAUCAGUAGCUGGUCUGAGAGGAUGAUCAGCCACACUGGGACUGAGACACGGCCCAGACUCCUACGGGAGGCAGCAGUGGGGAAUAUUGGACAAUGGGGGCAACCCUGAUCCAGCCAUGCCGCGUGAGUGAUGACGGCCUUAGGGUUGUAAAGCUCUUUUCUCCGGGACGAUAAUGACGGUACCGGAGGAAUAAGCCCCGGCUAACUUCGUA
rnacentral:rRNA from 1 species